rnacentral:misc_RNA from 1 species
GAUGAAGAACGCAGCGAAAUGCGAUAAGUAAUGUGAAUUGCAGAACUCAGUGAAUCAUCGAAUCUUUGAACGCACAUUGCGCCCCCUGGUAUUCCGGGGGGCAUGCCUGUCCGAGCGUCAUUGCUGCCCUCAAGCACGGCUUGUGUGUUGGGCCCCGCCCCCCGGCUCCCGGGGGGCGGGCCCGAAAGGCAGCGGCGGCACCGCGUCCGGUCCUCGAGCGUAUGGGGCUUCGUCACCCGCUCCGUAGGCCCGGCCGGCGCCCGCCGGCGACCCCCCUCAAUCUUUUCAGGUUGACCUCGGAUCAGGUAGGGAUACCCGCUGAACUUAAGCAUAUCAAUAAGCGGAGGA